rnacentral:rRNA from 1 species
GAUGAACACUGGCGGCGUGCCUAAUACAUGCAAGUCGAGCGAACGGAUGAGAAGCUUGCUUCUCUGAUGUUAGCGGCGGACGGGUGAGUAACACGUGGAUAACCUACCUAUAAGACUGGGAUAACUUCGGGAAACCGGAGCUAAUACCGGAUAAUAUUUUGAACCGCAUGGUUCAAAAGUGAAAGACGGUCUUGCUGUCACUUAUAGAUGGAUCCGCGCUGCAUUAGCUAGUUGGUAAGGUAACGGCUUACCAAGGCAACGAUGCAUAGCCGACCUGAGAGGGUGAUCGGCCACACUGGAACUGAGACACGGUCCAGACUCCUACGGGAGGCAGCAGUAGGGAAUCUUCCGCAAUGGGCGAAAGCCUGACGGAGCAACGCCGCGUGAGUGAUGAAGGUCUUCGGAUCGUAAAACUCUGUUAUUAGGGAAGAACAUAUGUGUAAGUAACUGUGCACAUCUUGACGGUACCUAAUCAGAAAGCCACGGCUAACUACGUG